CCUACGGGAGGCAGCAGUGAGGAAUAUUGGUCAAUGGCCGGAAGGCUGAACCAGCCAAGCCGCGUGAAGGACGAAGGUGCCAAGCAUUGUAAACUUCUUUUGUCAAGGGACAAAAUCAGGCUCGAGAGCCUGACCGCGGGUACUUGAAGAAAAAGCAUCGGCUAACUCCGUGCCAGCAGCCGCGGUAAUACGGAGGAUGCGAGCGUUAUCCGGAUUUAUUGGGUUUAAAGGGUGCGUAGUAGGGCUGUUAAGUCAGCGGUAAAAGCCCGGGGCUCAACCCAGGCGAGCCGUUUAAACUGGCUGUCUUGAGAUGUCGAGAGGUAUGCGGAAUGCGCAGUGUAGCGGUGAAAUGCUUAGAUAUUGCGCAGAACUCCGAUCGCGAUGGCAGCAUACCGGAGGCGAUCUGACGCUGAGGCACGAAAGCGUGGGUAUCGAACAGGAUUAGAUACCCCUGUAGUC
rnacentral:rRNA from 1 species